UGGGACCUGGUGUACGGUGCACAGCUGCCUUCGAUAUCAAAUCUCAGCAACGGGGGCAGCAGCGAGACGGGGUUCAAUUCCCUGGGUCCCAA